CUAGGCAUUCAAAAAGAAAAGAUUGGAGGAGCACUUCUCGAGGUAUAUAAUUUGAGUUCGAAUAAUUGUCAAAUCAAUUUUCUAGGAAUGGUAUGGUCAGAGUCAAUUGCAACGUUGGACCUUUUCAGAGUCCGAUAGAGUUCCAGGUUGUUUUUGCACCGACGACAUAUUACGCUCUUCUAGGCAGACUCUAGAUUCAUAAAAACCAAGCGGUCCCAUUGACAUACCAUCAAUGUAUUAAAGGUAUAAUCAAAGGAAAAUAAGUACUCGUACCAGCGGUGAGCACUCCCUUCGAAAGAUCUGAAAUCCAUUUUGCUGACGCUAUACAUUAUUCGGAGUUUGCCGAGGAUGGAGAGCUUUCAUUGAAAGAGGUCCAGGGAGCUGUUGGCUUACUCGUUGGGAGGCGUUCCUCGAGAACUAGAUAGCUAGUCUGUCUGGUUCUGUUCUCGAGGAACGCCAGUCUCUCGACUGAGAGGAACGCCUCUUACUAAAGUAGUUCAAAUAGAUAAUCCACCUAAAAUGGAACAUUCGCUUCUAGAUCGCUUGCUAUAAGUAAGGAAACUCCUGAGUACGGAAUUGAGACCGAAGAAAGGAGAUUCCGUAAAUUGACUCUGAAACAAGAGGCAGGAACUCUUCUGCUGCUGUUUGCAAGCUCUUUCUUUAGCAUUAGUUAGCAUUAGAAUCCCGCCCUUCCUGACGGAGCUCUCCUACCCUUCUCAAUGCAGGAAUUCGCAUACAAUCGACCGGUACCAUAGCUAUAUUCAAUCCGGUGGGUCAAAGGAAGGAGAGCCGGAUUGCAGAUCGGGUUAAAUAAAGCGGGUGAACACUAGCAACCAGUACAAAACUACCCCGUCAAAGACGGAAAAUUGGUAUAAACCAAGAUAGCAAAUGGAAUGAUUAACUAGUGCCACCCCAAACCCACAAACAAUCUAACCACAGGUAUGGAUUGACACCGCGAAGGAAGUCAAUACAGGAGGGUUGGGAGUGAAUGGAAUAUCGAGAUAGAUAUCAAGAUAUCCCAUCAACCCAAAACCCUUAACAAAGCUAGAAUGCUUAUGUUGCGUAUAGUAGCCAGGGGGCCGAGCAAGAGACCUCCAAUAAGGUCAAACCAACGGGCAAAUCAGUCCCAAGAGUGAAAGGGAGUUUGAACUGUGAACAUAUAGGAUUCCGCUAAUCCUUAUGCUCUAACUAGUCUUAAACGAAAGAGAUAUCGAUUCCUUUCCCUGGUGUACUAGACUUGAAUUCCUUUGCAGUCUUAGGCUUUUGAGCUUUUUUCAUUCAAAGCGGGAUGCUUGCUAGACUGAUAAGCCAGAGAGAGGAAAGGAAGGAAUCAAUUAUUGAGUGGGAGUAGGGUCUAUGUCUAUGUUGAACAGAUUUGGGGUACAGUCAAUUUUCGUGCCAUGAUCUUAUCCAUAAUGUCCCCUUUUAGAGAGCAGUAGAAUUAAGAGCUUUGAGAUCGUCAACACAAAAUCCGAUCAAAUUAGGAUAAAAUGUACUGGCUGGAGGGACAGACUCCAGAAAAAACCGCGGUCAUACUUGAAUCAAACCAUUUACUGU
rnacentral:lncRNA from 1 species